GAGUUUGAUCCUGGCUCAGAUUGAACGCUGGCGGCAGGCCUAACACAUGCAAGUCGAACGCCCCUUCGGGGGAGUGGCGGACGGGUGAGUAACACGUGGGAACGUGCCCUUUGGUACGGAACAACUGAGGGAAACUUCAGCUAAUACCGUAUAAGCCCUAUGGGGGAAAGAUUUAUCGCCAUUGGAGCGGCCCGCGUUGGAUUAGGUAGUUGGUGGGGUAAGAGCCUACCAAGCCGACGAUCCAUAGCUGGUCUGAGAGGAUGAUCAGCCACACUGGGACUGAGACACGGCCCAGACUCCUACGGGAGGCAGCAGUGGGGAAUAUUGGACAAUGGGCGCAAGCCUGAUCCAGCAAUGCCGCGUGAGUGAUGAAGGCCUUAGGGUUGUAAAGCUCUUUCACCGGGGAAGAUAAUGACGGUACCCGGAGAAGAAGCCCCGGCUAACUCCGUGCCAG
rnacentral:rRNA from 1 species